GGCCAUCCCAGAAUUUAAAUGAAUUUUAACCCUUCCGUGGCCGGGAAUCCCGGGGGAAUCCCUGGAAUUCCGGGAAUUCCGAGCCAUUCCCAAAGCUUUUCCCGGUUUUUCCCCCCAGGUCUCGGCCCGGGAGCGCCGGGAGCGGCUCCAGGAGAAAUCGCGGCUGAGCCGGAGCCUCCUCCCGCUGCUGCCCCAGCUCCUGGAAAAGUUCUCGGCCGAGCCCGAGGCGGUGGCGGCGCUGCUGGAGCUGCUCCCGCACCUGGAGCUCGGAAUGUUCCGGACGGCGCGGCUCGACAAGGUCCUGGAUCGGGUUCUGGAGCGGAUCCUGGAGCUGUUCCGCUGCCACUCGGAGCCGGUUCCGGUUCCCCUGAUCCCAUCCCAGUCUAUCC